UUUCUACAGUAAAAUUUUACAGUAACUUCUUGUUCUGUCAUUUUACAAAGUAUAACUGUAGACCACAAUGCAUCAUGGGUCCAAAAUAAUUACAGUAGCUGACAGCAUUUUUCCACUGUAACAUAUUGUAAAAUGACAGGCAAAUUGUAUUCUGACUGUAGAUGAUGCGUAUUACGGUUAAAUACUGUUGAUAUCGGAUUGCAUUACAUUGAAAGAGCAGCACGUGCACAGGUGAAGCAGAGGAGCAACGCAGUGUUCAAACACUCCAUAAAACCUAACGUUAGGUGCAGAGGAAACCGCCGCACCACCGCUUAAGGCACAGUGAUCAUCACCAACAGACAUCGGUGAAGACGAUUUUCAGCCCAGAAAUGUAUCACUGCAAACAGUGUGCCCAUGAGAGUAAAACUAUAAUAGGUUUUACUCAUCAUAUGAAACUUCACAGUAAUGCACCAAACUGCCCUUUUACCUGUGGUAUACCUGAUUGUACCCGUGCAUUCAGAAAAUUUGCAGCCUGUUUCCCCAUUUCCAGUCUGUGCUUAAUUAGGCUAACCAGCUUCUGUCUGAAGCCUUAUAUUUAACAUGAUAUCAUUUUAUUCAUUGUUAUUUAUUUAUGGGGAUUCAAAUUGAGUUCUGAAGGCAUGUUGUAAAACUGCUGAGUUUUAAUAAAAGUUUUGUUUUGCUGCAGCUCUGACUCUGGUUUUAUUUAACAUAUUACAUUUUUUUAAAUUAUUUUGCUAAUGUGAAAAACAAAAUUUAACUGUAAAAACAUUCAACAACAACAUAUUGUAUUGUGAAGUAUUAACAGCUAUUUACUGGCAACUUUAGUUGCCAGGUAACCUCUGUAAUUUGAAUAGAAUACAAGAUAAU